rnacentral:rRNA from 1 species
AGUGAACGCUGGCGGUAGGCCUAACACAUGCAAGUCGAACGGCAGCACAGUAAGAGCUUGCUCUUACGGUUGGCGAGUGGCGGACGGGUGAGGAAUACAUCGGAAUCUACUUUUUCGUGGGGGAUAACGUAGGGAAACUUACGCUAAUACCUCAUACGACCUACGGGUUAAAUCAGUGGAUCUUCGGACCUUGCGCGAUUGAAUUAGCCGAUGUCGGAUUAGCUAGUUGGCGGGGUAAAGGCCCACCAAGGCGACGAUCCGUAGCUGGUCUGAGAGGAUGAUCAGCCACACUGGAACUGAGACACGGUCCAGACUCCUACGGGAGGCAGCAGUGGGGAAUAUUGGACAAUGGGCGCAAGCCUGAUCCAGCCAUACCGCGUGGGUGAAGAAGGCCUUCGGGUUGUAAAGCCCUUUUGUUGGGAAAGAAAAGCAGCAGGUUAAUACCCCGAUGUUCUGACGGUACCCAAAGAAUAAGCACCGGCUAACUUCGUG